GGAUGUAGCUCAGUGGUAGAGCACUUGCUUGGCAUCCAUGAGGCCCUGGGUUCUACCCCUAGCAUCACA
rnacentral:tRNA from 1 species